rnacentral:lncRNA from 1 species
AACUCAAUGUAUACACUUUUAAAAGAGGAUACUAAACUAAAAAUUUCGUCUUAACAUAGGGACCAAUUAAGGAUUUAAGCCUAAUGAGAAAUACACAAGUGUAAUACAAUAGUUUUGAGUUUUGUUUCACAUACCUUUGUCCGGGUGCUCUUCUUCUUUUCUUCUCGCUUUCUUCCCGUUCCUGUAGGUGGUUUCUUCUUUAUUUGCCGAAGCACCUCCAUGGAAAGCUCUCGCGCUUUGCUUCUCCCAUACAACUCACAAUUUUCAACUUUCACCUAACAUCUGACGCAAGUCAGCUUCCCGAGGGUGAGACUUUUCCGCAUCUUCGGUUAAAAGGCUUUGGGUCUAUGUUGUGUGGUCUCGGCCAGUUUUAAUAAAUAGCUUUGAUUAAGCUAAAUAAAUUAGUGUUUUGAUAGGUAAUUAGAUGUUGGAUUAGUAAGUUAAGAAGUUUUAACUUUUGGAUUUGGGCUUUGAAAACAGCAAAACUGGGGAUUUCCUGGGCCUAGAUCCAUCAAAUCAAUUUGGGGUUACUCCUUGUACCUCCCCAAUUCCACCCCCCCCCCCCCCCCCCCAAUUUUUUUUUGGAUUUUUUUUUAAAUACAAAAAUAACCUUUUUUAUUUAUUGUUUUUACCUUUUUACCCCUAUUUACUAAAGUUAACCUAACCUACCUCUUUUACACUCUGCUUCAAACACUCAGACAGAUUCCCUCUCCUUCGUAUUCCCCACCCCCACUAAAGCUUUCAUUUUGAAAUACUCUCUGCAACUUUCACUCUCCCAGUCCUCCUCUGAGCCUUCUGUUGCUUUGUGCGGCCUGGUGCUUUUGGUGCGUGGCGGGUGGCGGUGCGGUGAGUGUGUGGUGGUGCGGAGCGGUGGUAGACGUUGGUUUCGUUUGUGGGUGUGUUGGGCGGUGCGGUUGUGUUUGCUGCUUUGCAGCCGGUGUGUGCAGCGACGCGGAGGGUGGUGGUGCGGCGGGUGUUGUAGCGGUGCGGGGCGGUGGUUCUUGCUUCGUUCGUUUUAACAGGUUAGUUUCUUUUCGUUUCUUCUAUUUUUUUUUAAAUGUAUGUAAUGUGUAGGAUUAGGUAGCUUUGUCUGUUGUUGAUAUCUGGUUGGGUGUUUGUUGAGGUUUUUGUGGUCUGUUGCGAUUGAGUUUUGUGUCAUUUGUGUGCUCUGUGUUGUGUGUGCUGAGGAAGAAGACGUCCAGGCCCUGAAACGGAUGUCGAUAUCCGUCGACGGUUUUACGAAGGUAUUACUAACCUCGACUCGCCGCUUUAGAAGAGGAUCGCUGGUUAAAGGUUGGAUACAACACCACCACACCAAUGCAAUGCAGAGAUAUAAUAAUUCAAGGACAAAUUCUUUCAGGAAGAAUCGAUAUCUCAAUCAUCACUUGAAAAACAAGAAGAAUGGGAAAAAGAAUUUCUAGAAUAAUAGAACAAAG